GCUCUUAGAUUCAUGGGUUAUUUUCAAUUAUUUGUUGUUUUACUUUUAUCAAUUCCUAUUGAACUUUGUUUAGCCACCUCCCCCAUCGAAGAUCAAGAGAGAGAUAAGAUAACCCAUUUACCAGGACAACCAAAAAAUGUAGGAUUUGCUCAGUACUCUGGUUAUGUAACUGUGAACGAGCAAGCAGGGAGGGCGUUAUUUUACUGGCUGAUCGAGUCGCCUUCAAGUCGUGGCCCCAAGUCCAGGCCACUUGUUUUAUGGCUUAAUGGUGGUCCUGGAUGCUCCUCUAUUGCUUACGGUUUGGCUGAAGAGAUUGGCCCUUUUCGAAUUAGUUCUGAUGGGAAGUCACUUUACAUGAAUCCAUAUGCUUGGAACAAUUUGGCAAAUAUACUUUUCAUUGAGUCUCCUGCUGGUGUGGGUUUUUCAUAUUCCAAUGAAACAUCAGAUCUGUACUCUGCAGGUGACCAGAGAACAGCUGAAGAUGCCUAUACAUUUCUUGUUAAUUGGUUUGAAAGAUUUCCUCAGUAUAAGUAUAGAGAUUUUUACAUUGCUGGAGAAAGUUAUGCAGGUCACUAUGUUCCUCAGUUGGCUCAACUUGUUUACCAUAAAAAUAAGGGUGUCCAGAAACCAAUUAUAAAUUUAAAGGGAUUUAUGGUUGGAAACGCUGUUACUGAUGAUUAUAACGAUUAUGUUGGCACAUUUGAGUACUGGUGGACCCAUGGUUUGAUUUCGGAUUCCACAUAUAAGAUGCUUCAACUAGCAUGUGACUUUGGGUCUUCCCAGCAUCCAUCAAUACAAUGCAUAGAGGCUCUAAGAGUUGCAGAUUUAGAGCGGGGAAACAUUGAUCCAUAUAGCAUUUAUACACGCCCAUGCAAUGAUACUGCAUCACUCAAGCGCAGGUUGGGCGGUCGCUAUCCAUGGAUGUCUCGAGCUUACGACCCUUGUACUGAGAGGUAUUCAGACAUGUACUUCAAUCAUCCUGAUGUUCAGAAGACACUCCAUGCCAAUGUAACUAAUAUCCCAUAUUCAUGGAAAACAUGCAGUGAUAUUGUUGGAAACUACUGGGCCGAUUCUCCACUAUCUAUGCUUCCAAUAUAUCAAGAACUCAUUGGUGUUGGUCUCAAGAUAUGGGUAUACAGUGGAGAUACGGACUCUGUGGUUCCAGUAACUGCUACUCGAUAUUCCAUUGACGCCUUGAAACUUCCCACCAUUACUAAUUGGUACCCCUGGUAUGAUAAUGGCAAGGUUGGUGGAUGGAGCCAAGUUUAUGAAGGGCUUACGUUUGUUACAGUAACAGGAGCUGGACAUGAAGUUCCACUACAUCGACCUCGCCAAGCAUUCAUUCUUUUCCGGUCAUUCUUGGAGAGCAAGCCCAUGACAAGUUAAACUCAAAUUGUGUCAGGUUUAUUGAUCAUAAACCUUCAAAGUAUACAACAACAACAACAAUAAGCCUUAUUCUACUAAGUAUUGACUUCUCUUUAUUCACUAAUUGUGGAGACUAAAACUAUAAUAGUCUCACUAAUUCAAGGACCAAAUUGUUAGUUCAGUGAAAACAUCAAAAUCAUUCAUAUACAUGGACUGGGAAGAAACACUGUAAAUGCAUUUCUCAUAAGUUUCCUGGAAGGUUAAGGAGUUUUACUUACCGAAGGUACUUUUCCUGUGUCAAAAUGUGGCAUGUAGUUCUAUGAAAUUGAUUCUUUGUAAUGCUAAGAUCAUUCUCUGUGAGCCUCUGACCCCUUCAAUGCAGUUGAGGAGUGGGGGCUUGAAAUUGAUUUUUUUUU